rnacentral:rRNA from 1 species
UACUUUGGUGGCGACCGGCGCACGGGUGCGUAACGCGUAUGCAACCUACCUUUAACAGGGGCAUAACACUGAGAAAUUGGUACUAAUUCCCCAUAACAUUCGAGAAGGCAUCUUCUUGGGUUAAAAACUCCGGUGGCUAAAGAUGGGCAUGCGUUGUAUUAGCUAGUUGGUGAGGUAACGGCUCACCAAGGCAACGAUACAUAGGGGGACUGAGAGGUUAACCCCCCACAUUGGUACUGAGACACGGACCAA